rnacentral:rRNA from 1 species
ACAAACGCUGGCGGCGUGCUUAACACAUGCAGGUCGAACGGAAAGGCCCUGCUUUUGUGGGGUGCUCGAGUGGCGAACGGGUGAGUAACACGUGAGUAACCUGCCCUUGACUUUGGGAUAACUUCAGGAAACUGGGGCUAAUACCGGAUAGGAGCUCCUGCUGCAUGGUGGGGGUUGGAAAGUUUCGGCGGUUGGGGAUGGACUCGCGGCUUAUCAGCUUGUUGGUGGGGUAGUGGCUUACCAAGGCUUUGACGGGUAGCCGGCCUGAGAGGGUGACCGGCCACAUUGGGACUGAGAUACGGCCCAGACUCCUACGGGAGGCAGCAGUGGGGAAUAUUGCACAAUGGGCGGAAGCCUGAUGCAGCAACGCCGCGUGCGGGAUGACGGCCUUCGGGUUGUAAACCGCUUUCGCCUGUGACGAAGCGUGAGUGACGGUAAUGGGUAAAGAAGCACCGGCUAACUACGUG